rnacentral:rRNA from 1 species
UGUAACGCGUGGAUAACCUGCCUGUCAGACCGGGAUAACUUCUGGAAACGGGAGCUAAUACCGGAUACGAACACCACUGCAAAAGCAGAGGUGUUGAAAGGGGGAACCCGCUGACAGAUGAGUCCGCGUCCCGUUAGCUGGUUGGUGGGGUAACGGCCUACCAAGGCGACGAUGGGUAGCCGGCCUGAGAGGGUGAACGGCCACACUGGAACUGAGACACGGUCCAGACUCCUACGGGAGGCAGCAGUGGGGAAUAUUCCGCAAUGGGCGCAAGCCUGACGGAGCAACGCCGCGUGAGGGAAGAAGGCCUUCGGGUUGUAAACCUCUGUUGUAUGGGAAGAAGGAUUGACGGUACCAUACGAGGAAGCCCCGGCUAACUACGUGCCAGCAGCCGCGGUAAUACGUAGGGGGCGAGCGUUGUCCGGAAUUACUGGGCGUAAAGGGCGUGUAGGCGGCGAACUAAGUUAGAGGUGAAAGGUUGGGGCUUAACCCCAAGCAUGCCUCUAAAACUGGUUGGCUUGAGUGCAGGAGAGGAAAGCGGAAUUCCUGGUGUAGCGGUGAAAUGCGUAGAUAUCAGGAGGAACACUCGUGGCGAAGGCGGCUUUCUGGCCUGUAACUGACGCUGAGGCGCGAAAGCGUGGGGAGCAAACAGGAUUAGAUACCCUGGUAGUCCACGCCGUAAACGAUGAGUGCUAGGUGUUGGAGGUAUCGACCCCUUCAGUGCCGUAGUUAACGCGAUAAGCACUCCGCCUGGGGAGUACGGUCGCAAGACUGAAACUCAAAGGAAUUGACGGGGGCCCGCACAAGCGGUGGAGCAUGUGGGUUUAAUUUCGACACAACGCGAAGAACCUUACCAGGGCUUGACAUCC